CCGUCUACUCAGGGGUGGUGCUUAGCCGGCGCCAGACCGACCCUCGACUCCGGAGAGGCAGCGCUGUCCCUCUCGGGGCUUCCUCGGCUGCUUCGGCGUCCUCAGCUUCCUCCGGGACCGGAGACUCUGGUAUAUGCCCCACCUCUGAGCCCGCUAGAGACAUGUCGACCCCGGCUCGUCGGCGCCUCAUGAGGGACUUCAAGAGGUUACAAGAGGACCCUCCGGCCGGAGUGAGCGGAGCCCCGUCGGAGAACAACAUACUGGUUUGGAACGCGGUCAUUUUUGGGCCUGAAGGGACCCCAUUUGAGGAUGGAACAUUUAAACUUACAAUUGAAUUUACUGAAGAAUAUCCGAAUAAACCACCUACUGUUAGAUUUGUCUCUAAGAUGUUCCAUCCUAAUGUCUAUGCAGAUGGUAGUAUAUGUCUGGAUAUACUUCAGAACCGCUGGAGCCCAACCUAUGAUGUGUCUUCCAUUUUAACAUCCAUACAGUCUCUAUUGGACGAACCUAAUCCCAAUAGUCCAGCAAACAGCCAGGCUGCCCAGCUGUAUCAGGAGAACAAGCGGGAAUAUGAAAAGCGAGUUUCUGCAAUAGUAGAACAAAGCUGGCGUGACUGUUGACUCAGGAUAGAGCAAGCUGGCCAUAAGAAAAAAUAUCCUCUAGGUGAAGAGCCUGAGUUGCCCUGGGAACUUUUGACGGAUGGCAACCACCGACUCAGGAUACAUCUGUGAAGGAGAAGGCUCUGGAGGAGGCUGACAGUUUGCCUGUUGGGGUGUGCUGCUUGGGGCAGGGUUCCCACUGUCAAAAUACAUGUUGGUUGUUACAGGCUGCUCUUUUGUGAAAAUAAAUCCUGAUGAAUUACAA